UAAGAUACUAAGGGCAAUUGGCGGAUGCCUUGGUGCCAGGAGGCGAUGAAGGACGUGGAAGGCUGCGAUAAGCCUCGGUGAGCCGUCUAACAGGCUUUGACCCGGGGAUUUCCGAAUGGGGCAACCCGGCUGGAGUCAUGUCCAGUCAUCCGGAUUUAUCCGGAGGCGAACUCGGGGAAGUGAAACAUCUCAGUACCCGAAGGAGAAGAAAUCAAGAGAGAUUCCCAAAGUAGUGGCGAGCGAAAUGGGAAGAGCCCAAACCGUGCGGUUUCGACCGUGCGGGGUUGUAGGGCCUUCAUCAAGCGAUCUGUGAUUAGGUAGCGGAAACAUUUGGGAAGAUGUUCCAUAGAGGGUGACAGACCCGUACGCGAAACCGAACAGCAGCGCUGAAGGUACCUGAGUACCGCGGGACACGAGAAAUCCCGUGGGAAUCUGGGAGGACCAUCUCCCAAGGCUAAAUACUCCCUGGCGACCGAUAGCGAACUAGUACCGUGAGGGAAAGGUGAAAAGAACCCCUGUUAGGGGAGUGAAACGAGAACCUGAAACCAAUUGCCUACAAGCGGUUCGAGUCCGGCAUUUAUGCUGGAUGAGAGCGUGCCUUUUGCAUAAUGAGCCAGCGAGUUUAUUUGUACUGCAAGGUUAAGCCUUUCUGAGGCGGAGCCGCAGCGAAAGCGAGUCUGAAUAGGGCGCUUGAGUAGUGCGGAUAAGACCCGAAACCGAGUGAUCUAUCCAUGGGCAGAGUGAAGCUUGGGUAAAACCAAGUGGAGGCUCGAACCAGUUAGGGCUGAAAACCUUUUGGAUGACCUGUGGAUAGGGGUGAAAGACCAAUCAAACUCGGUGAUAGCUGGUUCUCCCCGAAAUAUAUUGAGGUAUAGCCUCAGGUAAUUCGCACACGGAGGUAGAGCACUGAAAGGGCUAGGGGCCCCACCAGGUUACCAAACCCUAUCAAACUCCGAAUGCCGUGUGUUUUAUCCUGGGAGUCAGACUGUGGGUGAGAAGGUCCAUAGUCAAGAGGGAAACAGCCCAGACCGUCGGCUAAGGUCUCCAAAUUUGUGCUCAGUGGGAAAGGAAGUGGAGUCGUUCUGACAGCCAGGAGGUUGGCUUAGAAGCAGCCAUCCUUUAAAGAAAGCGUAAUAGCUCACUGGUCUAGUGAUUCUGCGCCGAAAAUGUAACGAGGCUAAGCACAAUACCGAAGCCACGGGUGUGCGUUUUAACGUACGCGGUAGGGGAGCGUUCCCUGCGGGAUGAAGGUAAACCGGGAGGUUUGCUGGACUUCAGGGAAGUGAUCAUGCUGGCAUGAGUAACGAUAAAAGAAGUGAGAAACUUCUUCGCCGUAAGCCCAAGGUUUCCUGGGUAAAGAUAAUCUUCCCAGGGUGAGUCGGCCCCUAAGGCGAGGCUGAAAAGCGUAGCUGAUGGGAAACAGGUUAAUAUUCCUGUACCUGUGGGACAUCGUUUGAGUGAAGGGGGGACGCAGAAGGGUAGGUCAUCCGGGUGUUGGAUGUCCCGGUUCAAGCCUGUAGGCUUGCUUCGUAGGCAAAUCCGCGAAGCUUCAAGGCCGAGAGGUGACGACGUGUCGCAAGACUGAAGUGACUAAUCCCAUGCUGCCGAGAAAAGCCUCUAAACGAGAUGUUUCGCAGACCGUACCGCAAACCAACGCAGGUGGGCGGGGAGAGUAUCCCAAGGCGCUUGAGAAAACUCUGGUCAAGGAACUCGGCAAAAUUACCCCGUAACUUCGGGAGAAGGGGUGCUCCUUCUUGUGAUGGGACUUGCUCCCUGAGCAUCAAGGAGUCGCAGAGAAAUGGCGGGGGCGACUGUUUACUAAAAACACAGGUCUGUGCAAAGUCGUAAGACGCAGUAUACAGACUGACGCCUGCCCGG
rnacentral:rRNA from 1 species